UACGUAGGGUGCGAGCGUUGUCCGGAAUUACUGGGCGUAAAGAGCUCGUAGGUGGUUUGUCGCGUUGUCCGUGAAAACUCACAGCUUAACUGUGGGCGUGCGGGCGAUACGGGCAGACUGGAGUACUGCAGGGGAGACUGGAAUUCCUGGUGUAGCGGUGAAAUGCGCAGAUAUCAGGAGGAACACCGGUGGCGGAAGGCGGGUCUCUGGGCCGAUAACUGACGCUGGAGGAG
rnacentral:rRNA from 1 species